rnacentral:rRNA from 1 species
UACGGAGGAUCCAAGCGUUGUCCGGAUUUAUUGGGUUUAAAGGGUGCGUAGGCGGAUCUUUAAGUCAGUGGUGAAAGCCUGCAGCUUAACUGUAGAAUUGCCAUUGAAACUGAAGAUCUUGAAUGUGGUUAAAGUAGGCGGAAUGUAUCAUGUAGCGGUGAAAUGCUUAGAUAUGAUACAGAACACCGAUAGCGAAGGCAGCUUGCUGAACCAUUAUUGACGCUGAGGCACGAAAGCGUGGGGAGCGAACAGGAUUAGAUACCCUGGUAGUCCACGCCCUAAACGUUGAUUACUCGUUGUUGGCGAUAUACUGUCAGCGACCAAGCUAAAGCGUUAAGUAAUCCACCUGGGAAGUACGACCGCAAGGUUGAA